GACGAACGCUGGCGGCGUGCCUAAUACAUGCAAGUAGAACGCUGAAGGAGGAGCUUGCUUCUCUGGAUGAGUUGCAAACGGGUGAGUAACGCGUAGGUAACCUGCCUGGUAGCGGGGGAUAACUAUUGGAAACGAUAGCUAAUACCGCAUAAGAGUAGAUGUUGCAUGACAUUUGCUUAAAAGGUGCAAUUGCAUCACUACCAGAUGGACCUGCGUUGUAUUAGCUAGUUGGUGGGGUAACGGCUCACCAAGGCGACGAUACAUAGCCGACCUGAGAGGGUGAUCGGGCACCCUGGGACUGAGACACGGCCCAGACUCCUACGGGAGGCAGCAGUAGGGAAUCUUCGGCAAUGGACGGAAGUCUGACCGAGCAACGCCGCGUGAGUGAAGAAGGGUUUCGGAUCGUAAAGCUCUGUUGUAAGAGAAGAAAGAGUGUGAGAGUGGAAAGUUCACACUGUGACGGUAUCUUACCAGAAAGGGACGGCUAACUACGUG
rnacentral:rRNA from 1 species